UUUUCUUAUUUUUUAUUUUCUUCUUAUAAAGGAGAGAAGUUUUAGCGGUCCGUCAAAUAGUUAAGUAACAUGAGUCUGGGAAUAUGAACAGAACAGUGGUAUGCUCACACAGGCGAUCGAAUUUACUACGGACUCACACCCAAAGAGCCUCAGAGAUGGACCGCGACCGCAUCCUCUCGCCGGUCUGGAGAGUGAUGCGCAGCUUCUCAGGGACGAGGAGCGAGGGUCGGAGCCAGGAGGACCCCCUUGUGUUCAGCCCGCUGCUUCAAAACUUCCGCGCUGUGAUCUUCACUGAACCGAAGCUUGUGGCCAUGGUGCUCCAGCUCGCCCUGUUUCCGAGCCUCCCUCCUGAUCAAGUCUUUAAUCUGGUGCUGAUGAUGAAGGGACGCGGUCUCUCGCGCGGGACAGGUUUGGGUGCCCAAGUGCGAUGAGGUCUGUCCAGCUCCGGGGGAGAACUUGAUCACCAAAAACCUCAACGAGAAGUUGGGAGAAAAGCCGACUAACUCUGCAUUGGGGGAAUUGCUGAUCCUCUGCCCAUCUUGACUUGAGAGACACUGCCACUCUUGCCGCGUCUCCACCGCAAUUACCAGGAACUUUUUUCCCCAGAAACUAUUUUCCCACACAGACCUGUUGCUUUCUGUGUUUCCACCGCGGUCUGAAGUACAGUGAAGAUUAGGCAAAUAGUCUGGUGACGUAAGCCCGCGCGCGUUUCUCAAUACAAAGUAGCAAAUUUCGGACUUGCAUCCUCAGCAUCUCCAGAGGCAUUCAGCGACGAAAGGCAUCAUCAUCGCUAUGAUUUGCACAUUCUUCGAAGCCUUCAAUGUGCCGGUGUUCUGGCCCAUCCUCGUCAUGUAUUUCAUCAUGCUCUUCUGCAUCACCAUGAAACGGCAGAUCAAGCACAUGAUCAAGUAUAGAUACCUGCCCUUUAACCUGGGGUUAAAAUGUAUGUGUGUGUGUGUAUAUAUAUAUAUAUAUAUAUAUAUAUAUAUUUUAUGGUUAGCAUGUUUUAUUUAUUUAUUUAUUUUUUUUUUGGACAAUUGCAUUUUUACUGUAUUAAAUUAAUCUUCAUCAAAACAAAUUAAUAGAUUUGUUAAUUCCUGAUUAAAGACAUUGCAUGUUUUAGGGUUUCUUGUGCUGCUGGUUAAGAGAAAACAAGAUGAUUUUAAUAACUAAGUAUACAUUUUUCACUCCAAAUGCUAUUAAAAG
ensembl:lncRNA